GUAUGCCUAAGUUCAUACCUAUACAAGGUGAAACUGCGAAUCGCUCAGUAAAUCAGUUAUUGUUUCUUUGAUCGUACCGAGAUGUGCGCUAGUGUGUUCCACUGGCCUCAUCACACAUUGGAUAACCGUGGGAAACUAGAGCUAAUACAUGUCAACUGCUAUCACGGGGUAGCGUGCAUUUGUUCGCCCAUUCCAAAACCAACACUGACUGAUCUAAACACACGGAGAGGUGAAUAGCCUCUGGCAACGCUGGCUGGGGCCUGCCUCACGGUACGGUUCCUUUCAGCCUGUGUGCGCACGGGUUAGCCAUGUUAACGGUGAUUCUGAAUAACUGAUGCUGAUCGUACAGGGCCAUUGUGCCCACGAUAUUUCAAUCAAAUUCCUGCCCUAUCAUAUUUGUUGGUAGGGUAGCGGCCUACCAAGGUGACGACGGGUAACGGGGAAUCAGGGUUCGAUUCCGGAGAGGGAGCCUGAGAAACAGCUACCACGUCCAAGGAUGGCAGCAGGCGCGCAAACUAUCCAAUCCAGAUUCUGGGAGAUGGUGACGAGACAUAUUGGGACUCACCAGCAUCGCUGGUCGAGUUACCAGAUAGACUACAACCUAAAACAGUGCUAAAAUAAUCAACAGGAGGGCAAGUCUGGUGCCAGCAGCCGCGGUAAUACCAGCUCCUGUGGCCUAUAUGGUCGUUGUUGCGGUUAAAAAGCUCGUAGUCGAAAUACGGUGCGCUCGAAAGCUGCAUCAGUGGUAAGCCUGCCCAGGCUGUGUGGCAUAAAAAUGUCCAUUUGUACAACACUGUGUGCGCGUGUGUGAUGUAUGGUUGUGUGCGUGUAACAGCGUCACACAUCCCUCUCGCCACACACUCUCGCACUAUGCGUGUGAUGGCGUGCGUGUGCAGAUCAUGGCUUUGAGCCUGUUGUAAUUAUCUAUGGCCAGUCACAGCUAGUCUGUAUGAUGCAGUUGUGCACUGUGGUAGUGCGCUGCUGUUUGCCUCUCUCGUGUGCUCUCCACCUCCGGGUGGGGCGUGUGUGUGAGAGCAGGCAGUGGCCUGCCACAGUGUUUUACCAUUGGGACAGCAUUAGAGUGCGCUUUCUCGUCCAGCUUCAGUGCGUGUUUGGUUGUGCGUGAGCGUGUAGUUGUGACCCUGUGUCAUUGACUCUCGUAUCUAAUCACCCUUCCUUGCCUCUUAUCCUUCAGUGGAUACACUGAACGCUGAGCGAAUUGUGCCUUGAGUAAAAUAGAGUGCUCAAAGCAGGCUAGGCAUGUAACAGUGUCAUUGCCCGUAUACUCCAGCAUGGAACGAAUGUCCAAUUGCUUGAACCACCCUGCGGCCUGGUUUGUUGGUUGAAAGUGCGGGUGUGUGUGGUGAAACACACAUGCUCGUACUUCGGUACAUGUGUGUGGUGUGUGUGAUCAUGUAUCCGACGCUGUGUGUGUGAACUCCAGGCCGUAUCCGCAAAUGUGUGUACCCGUGAUAUUUGUAAAUAUGUAUGUAGGCAGGACCAGGGCCUGUAUAAUUUUAUAGCAUCAUGUCUCACUCUCACUUGUGUGUGUUUGUGUGCAUGGUGUGUCGUGUAGUAUGAAAUAUAAUGUGUGCGUGCGAGCUUCUGCCCUGCCUUUACUUGCGUGUCCGCACACACUGUUAUGUGCAGUGUGUGCCUCGCAAGAGUCUUCAUCACCACCCACACUCUCAAGUGUGCGAGUGCGUCGAGCUGGCUGGUAUGAGGUGGUACUUGCGUUUUGCGUGCACUUACUCUCGACCUACCCUGUGUUGAAUAAAUGUGUCGGCACAUCGCGUGUCACACACUGCCCCGGGAACAAUACCACUUGUGCGUAUGGGUAUCGGUUAACAGAGACAUUUGGGGGCAUUGGUAUUUGGCCGCGAGAGGUGAAAUUCUGAGACCGGUCAAAGACUGACGAUUGCGAAAGCAUCUGCCAAAGGUGUCUUCAUUGACCAAGAACGACAGUUAGGGGAUCGAAGAUGAUCAGAUACCGUCGUAGUCCUAACUGUAAACUAUGCCAACCAGGGCUCAGGCCGGAUCGUGUAUAUUGAAAUAGAAUUUCAUAUAACUUUGAUCCAGGUUGGGCCCCCCGGGAAACCUAAAGUGUGUGGGUUCCGGGGGGAGUAUGGUUGCAAGGCUGAAACUUAAAGGAAUUGACGGAAGGGCACCACCAGGAGUGGAGCCUGCGGCCUAAUUUGACUCAACACGGGGAAUCUCACCAGGUCCGGACAUCGGAAGGAUUGACAGACUGAUAGAUCUUUCAUGAUUCGGUGAAUGGUGGUGCAUGGCCGUUCUUGGUUGGUGGAGUGAUUUGUCUGGUUUAUUCCGUGAACGAGCGCAACCACAGCCUCUAUUUUGGCCGUACGAAAGGCUACUGCCCUGUGUGUGGUGUGUUUACGCACACUGUGCGCAGGGUGCGUAUGUGAAUUUGCCACUAAUCGUGCUGGCACGCUAAGUUUCCAUCAUGUGGGUGAUGCACGUGUGCGUGUCUCUGUGAGACAUGUGUGUGUUGUUGAUGUGCAUUCCAAACGCUGUUGUGCUGCGCCAGCAUGUAUGCUGGCAAUGGACUAGAUGACGAUCGUGAUGACUCGCCAGGCUGUCCGUUGUACUGUGUUGGUGAUUGUGUGUGGCAGCGGUGCGUCAAUGGUGUGCACAUGUUCUGGCAGUAGGAUGCGUUACUGUGCACUGUUUGUGUGGUGGAAAUGUGUCAGAUAUAUGUCGAUUGGUGGGUGUUCGUGCGCCUUCAUAGAGGGACUACCGGUGGCAAAUCGGUGGAAGUGUGGCAAUAGCAGGUCAGUGAUGCCCUUCGAUGUUCUGGGCUGCACGCGUGCUACAAUGGUUACGACAAUGAGUGUGUCUGCGUCGAAAGAUGUGGGUAAUCUUCUCAAUCGUAGCCUUGCUGGGGAUUGAGCCUUGAAAUUAUUGCUCAUGAACCUGGAAUUCCUCGUAAGUACGAGUCACCAGCUCGUGCUGAAUACGUCUCUGCCCUUUGUACACACCGCCCGUCGCUACUACCGAUUGAAUGAUUCGGUGAGGGCAUGGGAUUGAUCGGUUUCGUUCAUUGUAAACUGGUCGAGAGCCUGUCCAAGCUGCAUCAGUCAGAGA
rnacentral:rRNA from 1 species